UUCUUUCUCUUUCUCUUUUCUGCUCCUGCUCCUCUUCUUCCUCUCACAGAAACCAUCUUCAAUAAUCUUCAAUGAUAUCUUCUCUUCUCUCUUUCUUCUUCCCUGAAGAUUCACAUCUUUUAAUCGAGAUUAGGAUUUCGAUUUCAUCAUCUAUUUUAGGGUUUCAGUUUUUCCGAUUUUAGGUUUCAGUUUGUUAAUCAGAUUCUAGGGCUUGUUGUCCAGUUUGUUAAUCAAAUUUUGGGGUUUCAUUAUCUGAUUUCAGGUUUUUUUAUGAGAGUUCAGAGUUGGAAUUUUUUCAUCAUCUGAUUUUAGGGUUUCAUCGUCUCCUGCAUAAGCCUCUCUCCACCCUCAGCUAAGCUUACAUUAAUCGGGUUGAUCCAGUGAAGCGCUUCAGAUCUGAGUCUGUACUCUUAAUUAGAAGCCAUUGGAGACGAAGUAGCAAGAAGAAGAAUUUGCCGUAUUGGAGCUGUACAUUAAGCUGUAUAUGGGAAUCGGCAGAUAUGAAGAUGAACCUGGUGGUUGAGUUCAAGUGUUGAAGUUGCAGCUGCUCCAAAAGCUAUAGAAAGUGGAGAUAGAAUUGAUGCGUGCUGUGUUGAUGAGUCUGAGAAGAUGAGAAGUAGGGUUCUGGUAGUAGAUUGUAUGAUACUGCAGCUGUAGAAGAUGAAUUCUUGUGGCGGAUAAGAAUCUGGUUUGAAUUGAGAAGAUGGUUUGCAUCUGCAACUCAGUUUUGGAGACCAGUGAUGAAUAAUGGGUAUUGUGGUGUGCUGUAUAUGGUGGAUUCUGCAGUGAAUGGAGCGAUGGAUUAUGGAGCUUCUGAAGCGCAGUAGCUAGGUAUUGUGGUGUGCUGAAGCAGCUGCUGCAACGGAAACUGAGAUGGCAACCAGGUGAAGGCUGUUUGGGUUUGAUUAGGAAUGGUUUUAUCUCAAGUUGUAAUUUUUACUGCUGAACCGGUGGUGAAGAUGCCCCAGGCACCUUUGCCACCUAAAGAAGCAGAAAGGCAGCUUUCAAGAGCAGUCCAUGGAUUAAGAAUUUGGUUACUGGGGGUACAUGAAGAAGCACAAGAGGAUGAUCUUCAAACUGCAUUUGGCGAGUUUGGCGAGAUUAAGAAUUUGCAUCUGAAUCUUGAUCGCCGUACUGGAUUUGUCAAGGUCUUACUGGAUAGGGUAGAACAUUUUGUUCAGUCGGUUGCAGUACACGAAGAUCAAAUCUUUCAGAAGCGUGCUCGUAUUCAACAGGCACAAGAAAAUAGGAGAGCAAAUUCUGAUGAGCCUUAAACACUGCUAGUAGACAAGGUAAAAUUAGGGGAUCCGGGAUACAAAGAAAGGUACUACAUAGAGAAAUUUGACCUGUCAAGCGCAGAGGAGAUUGAUAAAGUCAAAGAUGACGUUGUUUGGAAGUAUGUGGAAGGUCUUUGCUGGGUGAUACAGUAUUACUAUCAUGGCGUUUGCUCGUGGCAAUGAUCAGUAUAGUACCAAAAAGUGAUGCUCAACUUUAGAGAAAUUUAGUUUAUCCGUCUUUAUAGUACUUUUGCAAUUAUAUUUAUGGGCUUUUUUUCUAUAUCAUGCUUUCCAACCUUUCCAGCACAAACCACUUAAAUAUGACCCAAAUUCAAACGUGGUUGAAGCAGGAUGCUGGUACAAGGGAAGGUUAACCUUCCUUUGCAGUACAUAUGUAGCUGAAUUCUCCAGUGGUGGACUAGACUGGAGGAUCAGCCCUGAUAUUACUGACAUCAUGAUUCUUCUCAUCCAAUGCUGUCUCACUCGGUCACCGAAUUAGAUUCGGAAAAUAUGGACUUCUUUUAGAUAUUGUCUAGCUUAUUGGUAUAAUAUUUUGGCAGAAAUUGUUGCUAUAUUAUGUGCAGGAGAGUGGGCUGUUCACAACAAUUUCUACAAAGUCUGCUUCCAGACUGAUUCUCAAGCCGCAAUGAAGGUUUUUCAGUCACAAACAGUUCCUUGGUGGAGCAUGACAAGAUGGAACUAAAUCAAAAGAUCUCUUCAAGAUUGGUACUUCUCUCACAGCUAUAGGGAGAUAAAACUUUUCAGCAGACUCUGAUGGCUAAGAGAGGAGUUAGUUUAGCAAAGGGCGAAAAAAGCUAUACCACAAGACCUGAGUUCAUGAAGACAAUGGAAAUCCCUGGGAAGCCGCACUACAGAAUCUGUUAAAUUCUUUUUUUGGGCUUUUUUCUUUGUUUUUAGUUUUUAGCCCAAAUAUAUUGGGCCUAUUUGUAUAAACUUUGGUUAUUAUCUUUGGUUCCAAUAAAAGAAUGAUUUUUUUA